rfam:Atopostipes suicloacalis DSM 15692 genome assembly, contig: EJ15DRAFT_scaffold00003.3
UGAUAUCUGAUGUGUACGCGAUACCUCAUAAUGCGUGAACCCUACAAGUCAUUUAUAUAAGGGAUUCUAAUAAGAGAAACAAUGACAAGCCUUUUCACUUGGAAGUCAAAGUAGCUCUUUGUGAAGCCCACCUGCAGAUAGCGGGUUCAAAAGUACAAGGUAACCAAACGGCACGAUCGGAUAUCCU